rnacentral:rRNA from 1 species
GGCGAACGCUGGCGGCAGGCUUAACACAUGCAAGUCGAACGGUCCUUCGGGAUAGUGGCGGACGGGUGAGUAACACGUGGGAACGUACCCUUAGGUUCGGAACAACACAGGGAAACUUGUGCUAAUACCGGAUGAGCCCUUCGGGGGAAAGAUUUAUCGCCUUUGGAGCGGCCCGCGUCUGAUUAGCUUGUUGGUGAGGUAAUGGCUCACCAAGGCUACGAUCAGUAGCUGGUCUGAGAGGAUGGCCAGCCACACUGGGACUGAGACACGGCCCAG